GAUGAACGCUGGCGGCGUGCCUAAUACAUGCAAGUCGAGCGAACGGACGAGAAGCUUGCUUCUCUGAUGUUAGCGGCGGACGGGUGAGUAACACGUGGAUAACCUACCUAUAAGACUGGGAUAACUUCGGGAAACCGGAGCUAGUACCGGAUAAUAUUUUGAACCGCAUGGUUCAAAAGUGAAAGACGGUCUUGCUGUCACUUAUAGAUGGAUCCGCGCUGCAUUAGCUAGUUGGUAAGGUAACGGCUUACCAAGGCAACGAUGCAUAGCCGACCUGAGAGGGUGAUCGGCCACACUGGAACUGAGACACGGUCCAGACUCCUACGGGAGGCAGCAGUAGGGAAUCUUCCGCAAUGGGCGAAAGCCUGACGGAGCAACGCCGCGUGAGUGAUGAAGGUCUUCGGACCGUAAAACUCUGUUAUUAGGGAAGAACAUAUGUGUAAGUAACUGUGCACAUCUUGACGGUACCUAAUCAGAAAGCCACGGCUAACUACGUG
rnacentral:rRNA from 1 species